UUCUGUCAACACCUAGUGUUUGUCCAGCUGUGAUGCAUGCGCCAUACCUGAAUCAGGAAUCCAGAAUGCUAGGAGAAUUCUAUUUCUGGAGCAACAAGUAGACAGUAGUUCAUUGUGCCCUGAUUUGAGCCAUGUCCUCUUUAUUGUCCAUGUGAAUCCUGGUACCUUUCCGGUCAGACUCAAAAUUACAUAAAUUUAAGAAAAUGGAUCUCUGGAUGGUGUCAAAGCCUUCUACCCACUUCCGGAAAAAGAACUAGUCAGCUAGUAAAAUCUGGGCCUAGUGAUAUUCCUUCUCUUCCCUCUGAUACUUGGAAAUAGUAUCAGAACUCACUAAACAGGAAGUCACCAGUGUGUUCAGGUAUGUGAGAUCGUAUCUUGCCUUGGCAGCCAGGAAGUGAAUUAGUAGCACCACAUAUUAUUUUUCUCUGCAGAAAGUGAUUUAAGCUGUUACGAAAUUUGAGAUCAUGUAAGGUUUCGAAGUGAUGGUCAUCUUACAUGGAGAUAAAUGUCCUUCCAUUUAGGACUGCUUUUGAUGGGUUGAGAAGUGUUAGGUAUCAAUUACAGUGAUAAGUAUAAUGCAUUAAUGUAUAUGGGAGCUCUCCCUCAGAUGCUCCAACUGAUGAAACGUGGAUAGUUCAGAGACUCCUCUGCUAUUUUUGGACUGUAGCAACAUCUUAAUGUCUAUUUUUUCCCCUUGAAAUCUAGGCCAUAAAGGCACAUUGGUACAGUGUGUGCAUAUGUGUGUGUGAGCACACGUGCUGCUUUUAUUCUCUACUUUGAAUUCACUUUGCAGGGUACUACGUUAGAAUUUUCCUAACAACCUAGUCCACAACUACCAAAGAAAGACAUUUUCAGCUUGAGUGAAAAGGUUCUUUUAUUUCAUCUGUUCACAACAUUCUGAAGAUUUGGAGCGUGUAUUUGUUAAAUACCUUAUUAUCUGUUAAUAUAUUCCAUCAAAUAUUGUUAACAGUUUCUAAACAAGUACCCUUUUAUAUACAACCUUAAAUCUAUGGUAUAUCCUUUUUUUGU
rnacentral:lncRNA from 1 species